rfam:Triticum aestivum genome assembly, contig: Triticum_aestivum_CS42_TGACv1_scaffold_404270_5BL
CCGCUACUCCCUCCAUCCGAAAAUACUUGUCGUUGAAAUGGAUAUAUCUAGACAUAUUUUAUUCUAGAUACAUCCAAUUUUAUCUAUUUGUGCGACAAGUAUUUCCAGACGGAGGGAGUAUUAA